UACGAAGGGUGCAAGCGUUAUCCGGAUUCAUUGGGUUUAAAGGGUCCGCAGGCGGUUAGAUAAGUCAGUGGUGAAAUAAAUCGGCUCAACCGAUUUGCUGCCAUUGAUACUGUUUAACUUGAGAUUAGUAGAGGUGGGCGGAAUGUAGCAUGGAGCGGUGAAAUGUUUAGAUAUGCUACAGAACACCAAUUGCGAAGGCAGCUCACUGGGCUAAAUCUGACGCUAAGGGACGAAAGCGUGGGUAGCAAACAGG
rnacentral:misc_RNA from 1 species